UCGAGGGGCAGCGGGGAGGAAGCUUGCUUUCUCCGCCGGCGACCGGCGCACGGGUGAGUAACACGUAUGCAACCUGCCCCUGUCAGGGGGACAACCCGCCGAAAGGCGGGCUAAACCCGCGUACAUGCCACCGGGGCAUCCCGGAGGCAGGAAAGGCUUCGGCCGGACAGGGAUGGGCAUGCGGCGCAUUAGGCAGUAGGCGGGGUAACGGCCCACCUAACCGACGAUGCGUAGGGGUUCUGAGAGGAAGGUCCCCCACACUGGUACUGAGACACGGACCAGACUCCUACGGGAGGCAGCAGUGAGGAAUAUUGGUCAAUGGUCGGGAGACUGAACCAGCCAAGCCGCGUGAGGGAGGAAGGUACAGAGUAUCGUAAACCUCUUUUGUCAGGGAACAAAGGCGGGGACGUGUCCCCGGAUGAGUGUACCUGAAGAAAAAGCAUCGGCUAACUCCGUGCCAGCAGCCGCGGUAAUACGGAGGAUGCGAGCGUUAUCCGGAUUUAUUGGGUUUAAAGGGUGCGCAGGCGGUCAGUUAAGUCAGCGGUCAAAGCCCGGGGCUCAACCCCGGCCCGCCGUUGAAACUGGCAGUCUCGAGUUGGAGAGAAGUAUGCGGAAUGCGCGGUGUAGCGGUGAAAUGCAUAGAUAUCGCGCAGAACUUCGAAUUGGGAAGGCAGCAUGCCGGCUCCACACUGACGCUGAGGCACGAAAGCGUGGGUAUCGAACAGGAUUAGAUACCCUGGUAGUCCACGCAGUAAACGAUGAAUGCUGGCUGUCCGGGGGGAUUGACCCCUGGGUGGCGAAGCGAAAGCGAUAAGCAUUCCACCUGGGGAGUACGCCGGCAACGGUGAAACUCAAAGGAAUUGACGGGGGCCCGCACAAGCGGAGGAACAUGUGGUUUAAUUCGAUGAUACGCGAGGAACCUUACCCGGGCUCAAACGGGGAGUGACUCAGGCAGAGACGCCUGUUUCCCACGGGACACUCCCCGAGGUGCUGCAUGGUUGUCGUCAGCUCGUGCCGUGAGGUGUCGGCUUAAGUGCCAUAACGAGCGCAACCCCCGCGUGCAGUUGCUAACAGAUAACGCUGAGGACUCUGCACGGACUGCCGGCGCAAGCCGCGAGGAAGGCGGGGAUGACGUCAAAUCAGCACGGCCCUUACGUCCGGGGCGACACACGUGUUACAAUGGGUGGUACAGCGGGAAGCCAGGCGGCGACGCCGAGCGGAACCCGAAAUCCACUCUCAGUUCGGAUCGGAGUCUGCAACCCGACUCCGUGAAGCUGGAUUCGCUAGUAAUCGCGCAUCAGC
rnacentral:rRNA from 1 species